AACGCUUCUCGGCCUUUUGGCUAAGAUCAAGUGUAAAAAAAUUGUUCUUAAAGGUAUCUAGGGACUAUUCCAGGCCAAGCAACUUAUUUUUCAAUAUAGAAUUAAGUUGGAAAAGUUAGAAAAUAU
rnacentral:snRNA from 1 species